rnacentral:rRNA from 1 species
CACGUAGGGUGCAAGCGUUGUCCGGAAUCAUUGGGCGUAAAGAGCUCGUAGGCGGCUUAGUAAGUCGGGUGUGAAAACCCCAGGCUCAACCUGGGGACGCCACCCGAUACUGCUAUAGCUAGAGUCCAGUAGGGGAGUGUGGAAUUCCCAGUGUAGCGGUGAAAUGCGCAGAUAUCAGGAGGAACACCAAUUGCGAAGGCAGCUCGCUGGGACGUAACUGACGCUGAGACGCGAAAGCGUGGGGAGCAAACAGG